GCCUCCUCCGAGCGCCGGGAGGCGGCGGGACUUUAAGAAGUUCCCUCGUUCAGGGCAGGUCUCGCCGCUGCCCCCGCCUCCUCCGGUGCCCGCCCCGGCCGCGGCGGCCCGUGCUGGAGGUGGCCCUGCCGGGGACGGUUGCUCCCCGCGCCGGCCGCCGGGAUGUGCCCCGGGAGCGGCGGCAUCUUUCCUGCCCCGAUACCGCUUUGGAGACCCCAAGGCCUGGCUGAAGUGUGAGACUCACUCCUGGCCGAGCUCCGGCCUCGCAGGGUAGUGAAGGCGGGUCCCCAGGCAGGUGCCUGUUCUCCUCGAGGGUGAUUAACCUAAAAGCGGCGAAGGUUUAGCAAGAAAGGCCUCCGAAAAGACAGAAGAGGAGUUUGGCGAUGCCUUCUCAAACUACAUGUUUUGCAUCACAGGAAGGGCAACUUUCAGCCCUGUUGGGAACAGCAACUGUUGUGUGUGUCCCAGCAGAAGAAAUGAGGGGCAGCUCUUUUCCUAGGGUUUACAGAUAAGAGAUAACUUUCUAUGGGGUUUUCCUUUGCACUCGUGAUUCAGACCAUUUUGAGGCACUGUGUUUUUGUCUCACCCAGUGUUGGAUUUUCUGCCUAUCCAAAAAGGGCCAUUAUUUGGACUUCGUGUUUCAGUAAUUGUUUGAGACAGUUUAAAUUUGAUACCCGUGCCUGUAAUAACCUCAUAUAACAAGGUCACAUGCCAGCCAGUUCAGGCCUUGGCCCCAAGCCCAGGGUAAGAGCACUGUAUCUCCAGGCUGCAGGGAUCCUUCCAUACCUACCGCUGCUUUGUUAUGGGCUACUUUUCACUUAGAGAGAAGGAAAAAUCAGACGUCCAAACUAGAAACCAGGAUUUUUUUAGAGUACUCAAAGUUGAUUUUAUUGUGAUGUGUAGGUAACAGAUCCAUGCAUGGACAGAACCAUGUGAAAAAUAAAUCUACCAGAAGAUUGGUCCAUCAACUCAUUGCUAAGGUUCUCUGCCAGUGAGGGGACACACAAAAGAAACUGGGAGAGAGCAUAGCUGGGACAUGUGACCCAGACUGACCAAAGGGAUAUUCCACACCAAAGAACAUCAUGCCUGGCAUAUAAACUGGGGGAAGUUGCCUGGAAUGGAGGAUUAUCUGUGUUCAGGAAGGGGAGUCUGGUAUUGGUCAGCAGGUGAGAAGGGAAGAGAAAGGGCAAGAAAACUCCAUACAAAUUUUAUUUACAGAAGAUAUAGGGACACUUGCCCCCACACUGAGAUUCUUCAAACAGGCUCUUCAUUCACCACUCAGAGAAAGGAGCAGCUGUUCAAGCAGUUAUCAGAGACAGUGCCUUUCACAAAACAUGGAGAAUAGGCCAGUUACAGCUACAACCAUCCCAGAAGGCUGCAAUAGAGGAGAAGUCUGUGG